rnacentral:rRNA from 1 species
UACGUAGGGUGCAAGCGUUUGUCCGGAAUUAUUGGGCGUAAAGAGCUCGUAGGCGGUUUGUCGCGUCUGCUGUGAAAACUGGGGGCUCAACCCCCCAGCCUGCAGUGGGUACGGCCAGACUAGAGUGCGGUAGGGGAGAUUGGAAUUCCUGGUGUAGCGGUGGAAUGCGCAGAUAUCAGGAGGAACACCGAUGGCGAAGGCAGUUCUCUGGGCCGUAACUGACGCUGAGGAGCGAAAGCGUGGGGAGCGAACAGG